UUGAGAGUGCAGAAUGAUGUCGAGUGGCGGACGGCUGAGUAACGCGUGGGAAUCUGCCCCAAAGUGAGGAAUAACUGCCCGAAAGGGUGGCUAAUACCGCAUAUGGUCUUCGGAUUAAAGGAUUUAUCCGCUUUGGGAGGAGCCUGCGUUAGAUUAGGUAGUUGGUAGGGUAAUGGCCUACCAAGCCUACGAUCUAUAGCUGGUCUGAGAGGAUGAUCAGCCAGACUGGGACUGAGACACGGCCCAG
rnacentral:rRNA from 1 species